GCGGAAAUAGCUCAGUGGUAGAGUGUUGCCUUGCCAAGGCAAAUGCCGAGGGUUCGAAUCCCUUUUUCCGCU
rnacentral:tRNA from 1 species